UACGAAGGGGACUAGCGUUGUUCGGAUUUACUGGGCGUAAAGCGCGCGUAGGCGGAUCGCUAAGUCAGGGGUGAAAUGCCGAGGCUCAACCUCGGAACUGCCUUUGAUACUGACGAUCUGGAGAUUGGGAGAGGUGAGUGGAAUUCCGAGUGUAGAGGUGAAAUUCGUAGAUAUUCGGAGGAACACCAGAAGCGAAGGCGGCUCACUGGCCCAAUACUGACGCUGAGGCGCGAAAGCGUGGGGAGCAAACAGG
rnacentral:rRNA from 1 species